rnacentral:rRNA from 1 species
AACGAACGCUGGCGGCAUGCCUAACACAUGCAAGUCGAACGAGACCUUCGGGUCUAGUGGCGCACGGGUGCGUAACGCGUGGGAACCUGCCCUUAGGUUCGGAAUAACUCCCCGAAAGAGGUGCUAAUACCGGAUAAUGUCUUCGGACCAAAGAUUUAUCGCCUUUGGAUGGGCCCGCGUUGGAUUAGCUAGUUGGUAGGGUAAAAGCCUGCCAAGGCGACGAUCCAUAGCUGGUCUGAGAGGAUGAUCAGCCACACUGGGACUGAGACACGGCCCAGACUCCUACGGGAGGCAGCAGUGGGGAAUAUUGGACAAUGGGCGAAAGCCUGAUCCAGCAAUGCCGCGUGAGUGAUGAAGGCCUUAGGGUUGUAAAGCUCUUUUACCCGGGAUGAUAAUGACAGUACCGGGAGAAUAAGCGCCGGCUAACUCCGUG